UUUUUUUUUUUUUUAAUUCAUUUUUGAUUAGGGUAGAGUUGAUGUGCAGUGUUGAGUCAAUUUCUGCUGUAUAGCAUAGUGACCAAGUCACCCAUCAUAUAUACACAUUCUUUGUCUCAUGUUUUCUUGCAUUAUGGUCUACUUCAAGAGGUUGGAUACAGUUCCCUGUGCUGUACAGUAGGACCUCAUUGCCUAUCCAUUCUAAAUGUAGUCGUUUGCAUCUACCAACCCCAAACUCCCCAUCCAUCCCACUUCUUCAAGACUCAUGGCCAUAGAGGUAGUUGGCUUUAAUCAUAGGACAGCUUCCUGGAAGUGGCUGACUCUAGCAGCAGCUCAUGCAGAGGGACCUACACCUCACACUCCAUGUAUGGAGAUGGGGUGGGUCCCUCCUUCUCUCUAAAAUGUGAAAAAGACCCCAGAGGUCCCAACACACCCUCUAAAACCACAGACAAAUAUGGAUUGGUCCUAGAAAAAGGCAGAUGCCAAGGGCCCUGGGUCCUGCCUUCAUGAAUAAGUCAAGACUGGUCUUGGAGCGGUCUUCUCUCCAUUAACCAAGAGCUCAUGGUUCCAAAGGGAUUGUCCAAAUCUGAAUUUUCUCUUCCUUUGGUUGUUCUCUGAGAGAGUGGUUAUUGCUCAUGGGGGAAACUCAAGCCAGUUGGUCUGCUCCCUGGCAGCUUGUUUGAGCAGAGGAGGAUAAAGCUGCUGCCUUCAUGAAGGCUCUAAAUUUCUCCUGCUAUCCUUCCCACUUUCUCAUGGGCACCAGGCUGGUCCAUCUCUCUGAGUCACAUUGCUUCCUGUUCCCCUAAACUUGACCCUCAUUGAGCUCUCACCCUUGUAUCAGCACUCAGUGAUGUGUCUCCUUCCUGAAGCUAUCCCUGACGGGCCCUUGUUAAGUUACCUCUUCCUCAAUUUUGUUCCCACUCUGCCAGGAAAAAAAGUGGCUAUUGUGCCCUAUUGCAUGCACUAAAAUGUGAAAAAGACCCCAAUUAAUAUUUGAGUGCUUCUGGAGGAAGCGUCUUCUUACCUAAUUCAUCUUCAUAUUCUCAGACCCCAGCAUGGUGAGUAGCAUAUGAUAGACAUGCCAUAAUUAUUUGAUGGGCACAUGCAUGUGUAGAUUUAUAUUAUUAAGCAUCUCAGGUUUCUGGAAUUGUAAGGAAUUGAGAGACUCCAGGGUGUGAGUGCUUCUCUAGACCAGUGCGUUGAUUGUGCUAUGUAAAAAUGUUAUUGUCAUGGUCCUUCAGAUUCCAUCGGUUUCCUGUCCAUCAAACCCUGGCUGCAGUUCAGCCCAACUGUAGAGUUUCUGGUGCCUGCGUAGUUGGGCAAGGGGCACUGUCACCACCACCCACAGCUGUGCAUGCUGCAAUCUCCAUCUUCCCACACCAACCCCACUCUCUCUGCCCCAAGCAACAGGACUGUUCAAACAAGAGACAGGACCAAAGAAAUCUGAAGUCUCAAUGACUCAACUGUAGGCUCUAAGCCAUACCCGCAUGACCUGCAGACUUCGUAUUGAAGCAGCCUCUUCCUGAUACCAAAUGUCCCUAUAAGUGACUGGCGCACCCACUGGUAAUCUGAAAGCGUCCUACAUACCUGUGUCAUGUAGUAAGCUGUGGUUUCUCAGCUCUAACAUUCCUAUACAUGGCAUAUGAUGCUAAAGGGUAUUCCGCAAAUGCUUUUUCAUCCUUGCUAGAUGUGUCUUGAUAGGUUCUGGCAAAAGGGAGCACUGGAGAGAGAUUAAAAGCAGGAAAAAGAAGAAUGUGUUCGAAUAGAAUGUAUAUAUGUGUGUGACUGUAUAUAUGUGUAGCCACAGCCACAGCAACGCAGGAUCUGAGCUGUGUCUGUAACCUACACCACAGCUCAUGGCAAUGCUGGAUCCCCGGCCCACUGAGUGAGAUGAGGGAUUGAACCUGGAUCCUCAUGGAUACUAGUUGGGUUCGUCCCCUCUGCCAUGACAGGAACUCCCCUUCAACUGUAUUUUAAUAAAAAAUGUUUUAAAAAGAGAAUGUAUUCCCCUCUCCAUUUUACUUGUGGUUAAGGUCAGCGCCACCCAGCAGUUGCAUUUCUUCCAUCCCAACCACAGCACUUAGAGACAGCCUCCAUCUCCCAGAGACGGCCCCCAAGUGCUUUCCCAGAGGUACCAGACCUGCAAGGCAACAUCCCUUCCUCCUCAGAGAUCUGAAUUCCACCUUCGUAUGUCCCGCUCUCCAAGCUCUUCACGUGCCAUCAGCAGCCAUACAGAACCUCCUCUGCAUAGUUUUGGGUUCUGUCUUCUCUGCCUUUCUUCUGAUCUUCUGGGAUCCGUAGACUUAGUAUCUUCCCAUAUUCCCCCAGCAUUAAACGGGAAGCCUCUUUCAUCAGCUACUAUGUUAUCUCACUCUUCCCAUUUCACUUUUUAAGUGCUCCAACAACUACAUCACCCAUCCCCUCCAUUAAAUUCCCUCUAUUGAAAUACCUAAUGUGGUUUCUGUUUAUCUGCCCAUACCCCUAACUAAGUCAUAACAUCCAAAGGUUCUUUCUGCUUGUCACCUAGGGGAAAUCUGAGAAUCAGAAUCUUAGCUCAAAAAAGCAGCAGAGUCUAAGAAGGAGAAAAGUUUACUCUAGGUUUGAUCCUAGUUGUCUGAAUAACCUUAAACAAGUCACAUCAUCUUCUUGAGUCUCUUGAGUCCCUGUAGCCUUCAGACCAUAAAGGGGAACAAAUCAUUUCAUCUCCUUGCUUUGUCCUAGAAAUUCAGUGAGAACUACAGGGAAUCAAAAGAACUUUAAAGCCUAUGUUAAAAAGACAUCAUAAUCUGCACAAAACUACUUUAAAUAUCAAGCUGUAGAUAAACUUUCUAGUUUUGAUCUCAGCUGGCUCUGCAAGACAGCUCCUCCCACCUACAUCAACCAUGCAGGAAAUACUCCAGAUUUGUUGCUUUGCGAAAGACUCACCUUGAUGGGAAGAGAGGGAAAUGUCCUGUUCCUUUACUGAUAAGAUCACAAUCCCUCAUUUUCAAAAUAAGAUUGAUUCUGAAAGUUGCAAUGCCACGUCGAACCUUCUCUCUGCUGAGAGAGGUCCAUCUUGAGGGAUCUGGGUUUUGAGGAAAGGGUAGGAAGCAGAAAGGAGGGAAGAAGUGGGAUGAGGAUAGGAAGAAUGUGUUGUUUUCACAUUUUGGAGGCAUGCCAAGGUAUCAUAUGCCUAUUAAGAAUGGUUAGAUCUGGAAGAAACUUGAGGGAUUAGUGAAAAGUAGGGGUGGGCGAAAGAGGCGGCACCAUCAACUGCCUAAAAUUGGCCCCAAACAAGUUUCCUCAUUGUUCUGCCAAUAGGUUUUGCAAUAAAUUGGAGGAAAGGUAUUCAGCAAUUCGGCAAGGUAUUCAACAAGAUCACGGACAGUGCCCUGGGACCAAAAUAAAUAACCGUGAAGAAGUUGGCAGUUUCUUAUUGGCAUUUCAGAGGUGAGUUAUGAGACACCAAAUUGUGAGUUACUUCUUAUAAGUUUGCCUAAUGAAAAUUAAAAUGAGGCUGCAGAGGACGGGUUUCAGCUCUUAACAUUUGAAUUAAGGAAGCAAAUUAGAGAAAAAUAGGAUUAGAUCAAAUAUUUAAGAUAAUUUAGGUAGUGUCAAUACAUUGAACUGAAGGGAUUUGGUCCAGAAACUCCACAUAUAGAAACUAUUCAGGCUUUCUAGUAGCUGGGGAUUAUUUCUUCUAGGAAGAGAGAUCCCUGAUAUCCAGCCAUUGCUGUAUUUUUUUUGAAGGAACAUUUAUGAAUGUACAAAGGUUCUUACUUUGUGUACCAUGAACUCUUUUGGAAAUUUGUUGAAGGCUUUUUCUAAGCAUUGCAUGUUUAAAUGUAUAACUCAAAAUGUACAUAAUUAUAAAAAUAAGUAAUAUUGUCCUUGAGGAAUCACUCAAUUAUAGUUGGACUGUAAAAAUAGAGUUGCCAUAUCAUCCAGCCAUCCCACCCCUGGGCAUGUAUCUGGAAAAAAAUAUAUAUAUAAUUCGAAAAGAUACAUGCACCCCUAUGUUCUUAAAAGCAAAAGCCAAGACAUGGAAGAAAUCUAAGUGUCCAUUGAUAGAUGAAUAGAUAAAGAAGAUGUAUGUAUACACAACGGAAUAUUACUCAGCCAUUAAAAAGAAUGAAAUAAUGCCAUUUGCGGCAACAUGGAUAGACCUAGAGAUUAUUAUACUAAGUGAAGCAAGUCCAAAAGAGAAAGACAAAUACUCUAAGAUAUCACUUAUAUGUGGAAUCUAAAAUACAAUACAGAUGAAACUAUGAAACAGAAACAGACUGACAGACAUAGAGAACAAAUUUGUGAUUGCUGGGGGACGGGGGGCAGCAGAGGGAUGGAUUGGGAGUUUGAGAUUAGCAGAUUCAAACUAGUAUAUCUAGAAUGGAUAAACAACAAGAUUCUAUCAUACAGCACAAGGAACUAUAUUCAAUAUCCUGUGAUAAACCGUAAUGGAAAAGAAUAGGAAAAGAAUGUAUAUAUAUAUUAUCACUGAGUCACUUUGCUGUGCAGCAGAAAUUAACCCAACAUGGUAAGUCAACUAUACUUAGAUAAAAUAAAUUGACCCAGCAGUCCCACUCUUGGGCAUAUAUCUGGACAAAACUUUCUUUGAAAAAGACACAUGCAGCUGCAUGUUCAUUGCAGCACUAUUCACAAUAGCCAAGACAAGGAAAAAACCUAAAUGUCCUUGACAGAUGAUUGGAUUAAGAAGAUGUGGUAUACAUGCACAAUGGAAUACUACUCAGCCAUUAAAAAUAAUAAUAAUAAUGCCAUUUGCCACAAAAUGUAGGGAGAUAGAGACUCUCGAACUAAGUGAAGUCAGUCAGAAAGAGAAAGACAAAUAUCCUAUGACGUCACAUAUCUGGAAUCUAAUGUUUGUCAUAAAUGAACCUUUCUACAGGAAAGAAAAGCAUGGACAUGGAGAACAGACUUGUGGUUGCCAAGGGGGAGGGGGAGGGAGUGGGAUGGGCAGGGAGUGGGAUGGACUGGGAAUCUGGGGUUCAUAGAUGCAAACUAUUGCCUUUGGAGUGGAUAAGCAAUGAGGUCCUGCUCUGUAGCACUGAGAACUAUAUCUAGUCAC
rnacentral:lncRNA from 1 species